ACGGUCUAGUGGUCAGAGCGUCCGCAUUUGAGGCGGGAGGUCGCGGGUUCGAACCCCGGCCGAGUAAUA